rnacentral:rRNA from 1 species
UACGUAGGGGGCAAGCGUUGUCCGGAAUCAUUGGGCGUAAAGCGCGUGUAGGCGGUCCGGUAAGUCCGCUGUAAAAGUCAAAGGCUCAACCUUUGAAUGUCAGUGGAUACUGCCGGGCUAGAGUCCGGAAGAGGCGAGUGGAACUCCUGGUGUAGCGGUGGAAUGCGCAGAUAUCAGGAAGAACACCGACGGCGAAGGCAGCUCGCUGGGACGGUACUGACGCUGAGGCGCGAAAAGCGUGGGGGAGCGAACAGG